rnacentral:tRNA from 1 species
GGGGCUAUAGCUCAGCUGGGAGAGCGCCUGCUUUGCACGCAGGAGGUCUGCGGUUUCGAUCCGCCGCAUAGCUCCACCA